rnacentral:rRNA from 1 species
AGAGUUUGAUCCUGGCUCAGGACGAACGCUGGCGGCGUGCUUAACACAUGCAAGUCGAACGGAAAGGCCCCCACCUUGGUGGGGGUGCUCGAGUGGCGAACGGGUGAGUAACACGUGGGUGAUCUGCCCUGUACUUCGGGAUAAGCUUGGGAAACUGGGUCUAAUACCGGAUAGGACCAUGGUUUAGUGUCUCAUGGUGGAAAGAUUAUUGUUUUGGUGCAGGAUGAGCUCGCGGCCUAUCAGCUUGUUGGUGGGGUAAUGGCCUACCAAGGCGUCGACGGGUAGCCGGCCUGAGAGGGUGGACGGCCACAUUGGGACUGAGAUACGGCCCAGACUCCUACGGGAGGCAGCAGUGGGGAAUAUUGCACAAUGGGCGCAAGCCUGAUGCAGCGACGCCGCGUGGGGGAUGACGGCCUUCGGGUUGUAAACUCCUUUCGUUAGGGACGAAGCCACGCCUUUUUUGGGUGUGGUGACGGUACCUUUGUUAAGAAGCACCGGCUAACUACGUGCCAGCAGCCGCGGUAAUACGUAGGGUGCGAGCGUUGUCCGGAAUUACUGGGCGUAAAGAGCUCGUAGGUGGUUUGUUGCGUCGUCUGUGAAAUUCCGGGGCUUAACUUCGGGGUGGCAGGCGAUACGGGCAUAACUAGAGUGCUGUAGGGGAGACUGGAAUUCCUGGUGUAGCGGUGGAAUGCGCAGAUAUCAGGAGGAACACCGAUGGCGAAGGCAGGUCUCUGGGCAGUAACUGACGCUGAGGAGCGAAAGCAUGGGGAGCGAACAGGAUUAGAUACCCUGGUAGUCCAUGCUGUAAACGGUGGGCGUUAGGUGUGGGGACCGGUUUGGUUUCUGUGCCGUAGCUAACGCAUUAAGCGCCCCGCCUGGGGAGUACGGCCGCAAGGCUAAAACUCAAAGGAAUUGACGGGGGCCCGCACAAGCGGCGGAGCAUGCGGAUUAAUUCGAUGCAACGCGAAGAACCUUACCA